rnacentral:lncRNA from 1 species
AUAGAGUUAGGCUGGAAUACUAUUAAUAGCACCAAGCUAUUGGAGCUAUUAGUUUUUUAGCCCUUGAAUUGAAAAAUGUGAGGUUAGGAUGACGUGGACCCCCUAGGGUUGAGUGGGUGACUAGUUGAAUAGUUUUUUAGUCCUUGGUGCUAUCGAUAGUAUCCCAGCCAAACUCUAUAAUUAUAUUUCUAUACUAUCGAUAGUACCAAGCGUUUGGUACUAUUGAGUUUUUGAUCGUUGGAUGAAAAAAUAUGCAUUUAGAAUGAUAAUGAUCCCCUCGAGUUGAGUGGGUCGUUGAUUGAAUAGUAUAAUUUAACGGGUGGAAAUAAUCAAAGGAUAGAUCUAACGGCAGAAAACUCGAUAGUAUCAAGAGCAUGGUACUAUCGAUAGUAUAGUAGCCGGACUCUCUCUCUCUCUAUAUAUAAGUUAGGGCUCCUAUACUCUUAUGAGUAUUAACUGCUUUGUACUCAUAACUUUUCGAUCAUUGAAUGAAGGGAUGUACGGUUUGGAUGAUAGUGGUCUCCGGUUAAAAUAAUGUUAGUCACUUACGGUUGAGUGGGUGAUUGUUUGAAUAGCAUAAUCUAAUAGAUGGAAAUGAUCAAAAGGUAGUUCUAACGGCUAUGGCUAGGACUACUAUACUUUUAUGAGUAUUAACCCUUUGUAUUCAUUCAUAAAUUAUUAGUCAUUGGAUGAAUGAUAUGCGAUUAGGAUGAUAAUAGUCUUCAGUUAAGAUGAUAGUGAUCUAUUAAAUUUCAAUAGCGUCUUCUCUUAUAUUCUUAUUACUUUUAAUUUUC